AGAUAUGAGAUUAUUAAGAUUUGCAUUCUUAUAAAGCUAAGAUUAAGCCAUAUCUA
rnacentral:tRNA from 1 species